GUAUACAUAUUGUUUUUUUCAUCAUAGCAUGUUUUUUAUAUUUAUGCUUUGUGUAAGUAAAAUGUUCAUAAAUCAUUCUUAUCUUUAAACUAAAAAUGUAUUUUGAUAUGCAAAAUGUCUGUAUGAUUUCAGUUGCCAGAGGUGAGUACCAUAACAGUUGAAAAGUUAGUUUUGUUUAGUUAAAGUUUUGGUUCACAGUUUUGUUUGUUAUUUGGCAAAAUUUACAUGUAUGCAUUGAGUCUUGAUUUCAGCUCGAUUGUGGACUGAAGAAGAUUGCCAGCAGAGGGAUUGGAUACAAAAUACAAACUUUACUGCUGGACGAGUGUUCUCAACUACUAGACGAGUCAGGUUUACUACCAGGCGAGCAGUGACAACAAGGCGCCUUUGUGGAAACAACACAACAAAAAACUCUACUGCAAGACGAGCAGUGACAGCAAGGCGCCUGAACAUGCAACACAAUACAAAAAAUGCCAAUUUGCAAACCUUGAUGUGGACACCGAGUAGUCAAUACAUACGUGUGGCGUAUAGCUGCGACAAAACCGUGGGUCCAUCGCACCGAUAACUUGAACAUUGGCCCGUGUAUGGACAUCAGUGCAACUUUGUGAAUCCAUGUAUCUUUGUGAAUCCAUGUAACAUUGCGAAUGUGUGUCGAUCGAAAAAUGUGUACAUUCUGAACUGAAACGAACUCGGUGUUGCAAGUGGCAAGUGUUGACAGUGUGUAUGUUUAUGUUUAUGUUUUUACAUGAAAACUAAAGGAGAUUGUUCUCCUACCUUUUUUUUCCUUGUUUUAUUGCGCUGGCCAGCAAUAUUGAUGUAUUGAUGUAUGUGUUUGUGUUUAAACUAUGCAAUACCAAAAUCAAACAAAAAAUAAACAUUAACAGUCAUUAACUGUGUUUGGGCGGCCGAGGGGUUUAAGACUCCACAAGUGUGAAGCGCACUGAUAGCACUUGGGGGUGAACACCUCGGUAUUUCGGUGCUAAAAUGUUUUCACGGUGCUUAUCUUGACGCACUGUUAAGACUACCAACCAGUUAAUGAUUGCUUCAUCUUUAAACAAAAAGUAAGUCUCUACUUUGGCACAAGAGACUCCAAGUACCAAAUACCAACAAUUAAAAAGCAGACGUUUUUCAAAACUAUGAUCGCUGAGAUUGAUAGUCAGAUGGAGUCCUGCCCAGUUAGCUGUGUAGCGGUCUAGGGCGGGG